rnacentral:rRNA from 1 species
CAGCAGAAGCGCCACGCCCACCCCUACGUCCCCUCCACAUCCUACGCCUGCUUUUCCCUUCCUCCUCCGGCCGCUCCUUCCGUUCGUUGUCGCCCCUUCCUCUUCCACUCGCUAGGAUCGUACCCCUUCCCCGGCCCACUCCGGAGCGCGUGGACGGCCGCCGGCCGUCCAGCUGAACAACGCGGUGGCGCAGCAGUGGAGGAGACGUGGUACUCUCCGCGGUGGAGACGGAGGUGUGGGGGGGUGACCCGUUCCUCGAGCUCCACUUGUCCGCCACACCCUUCCGCUCUCCUUGGUCCUCGAGUAGGGAGGAGGGUACCGACGGGGCACCUAGACCUCCACGGACAACGUCCGCCGAGCUCGCUACGUUCGGCCGCCGCUUGAUCCAGGUACCUGUAACAGUAUUACCAGUGGAAUAGCGUCACAUAAUAAAAACCUAGAGUAUAAGGAGUUCCGCGAGGUAGGAGACUAAGCUACAGACUGCUAGACUCUUUAUUCUCCUCCUUAUUAGGUCGUCUUCUUAAACCACUUCUUCUUGUUCUUUUCUUAUGGAAAUAGGACUAUCCGUACCUUUGUGGCCAAGCGUAACUCACGUAGUAGCGAUUAGUCGAUGAUACAUACCAGUCGCCUGUACGAACGAAUAAGGACAUUGUAUAGUAAUGAGAUAGACGAAUCGGAAAGAUUGAAAAUUCUAAACUAGUUAAGAAAUCUUCAAGCAUGUCUAGAUCUUCAUAAACCAAAACAACCAGUUUAGGUAAUGGACAUACAGGAAUAAAUAAAAUAACAAGCUUGUUCUAUAGUCUAGUGGAUGUAAGUAAUAAGAACUAAUGUCAGAGUAUGAUUUCAUCAGAUUUUACCAGACUUAUCAACAUCAUUAAGUAUUUAUAAAAGUCACAUCAAGAAUAAACCAAAGAUCCGUAUCUUAAAUGAAGUUUUAAAACUAGAAAUAAACCAAUCAUUCCGAGAUCUUAUUUUGUCUGGUUACUAUAUAUAUGUUUGUCUGUGUUAUCCUCAAUUGACCAUGGAUCGAAAACUUUGGAGACUAUAUAUGUUUUAUAAUAAACUCAUCUUGUCCUCUCUACGUUAGAAUACCUAUAAAGGCGUAAACAUUCUUUGAAAGGUCGAACAAUGAUGGCUCUUGAGGUCCAAGACACUUAAAAAUUCAGGAUCCGCUCGUGAGGUCCAAGACACUUAAAAAGGAAGUGUAAUGACGUCAUAAAGGUAUGAAGUUCCUUUAUAUUUACUAUACCAAAGAGAGAGGGUCUAAAAAUGAUGGCUCUUACCUUAAGUUCUUCUAUAUGAAAACCGCAACAGAAUAAUGGAGAGCAUAGACUAUCUAUUGUGUUUCAAUAGUCAAAUCAACCUUUUUCUUUUUCAGGUCUAGUUAACACUCCUAUACUAGUAACCGUAUGAAUGGGGGACUACUACGGAGUAAAGAAGUCUUAAACUCCGACAAGAACUAUACGGUCUUCAUACUCACCCAACUGAAAAGAACUGCACAUAAAAUAUGUUGCUCGUUGAUGGAACGCGGCAGAAGGUCGGUGGUUGUUGGGGUACUGGGACGUAGUCCUGUUUAAACUAAAACCCUUCUGUUUCCAGACUGUUCCUACUCUUACCCUAUGGUCUAAUGUUGCUACCUCCGAGCCUGUACCUAGACGAGUACGAGAGUCGCCCUUAUGACUUACAAGAGCUUCGAAACGGUAUGUGUGCACGUUGAAAACCGUGAACACACCCGAGGUCAAACACAGUUACGUUAAACGUAGACAGUCGCCUAAUACCGCUCGAACCAAUAACCGGAUGUCCCACGAGGUGGCUACCACUUUUAUGGAGUGUCCUACUACAACCUAUAAUAAGAUGUUUGAAACCCGGAUGGCCACCGACUCAUAGCUUCGUUCUACACUGUCACCGUACUACACCUACUGAUAUUAAAGGUAUGUGGUUGUAAUAGAAAACCUCUAUUUUAUCGGCAUACCGAUAAUGUACUCUGGUACAGUCUUCUGGGACGACGAUACCUUCGUUUUACUAAGUACUUUAGACACCACUUUUGUCUCUAUUCUAUGAUGUUAAUGUCGUCGUAACUCUUUGGCUCCUGUGCUUUACUCAGACUUUUUACGAUACCCGAUUAAACAAGAUCGAUCCGCUACACACCAUCUUCUACAUGAGUGUCCUUCUGAUAGCACGACACAUAUUUGGUGCAAGAUGCUAAGUGAAGACAAUACGUAUAAAUGAAAGGUCAAAAUCCUGACUUUAGGUAGGUAACAUUACUUAAACCAACAUACCCGUAAUGGAUAAACUGAAUCCGAACGAAGUAGUGUAUAUCUGACGAAAAGAAAAGGGGUGAUGAACAUACUGGAUUUUGAUAGUACAUAUACUCCGUU